rnacentral:rRNA from 1 species
UGAGCAAUCUGCCCUUCUCAUCGGAAUAAGCGUUGGAAACGACGUCUAAUGCCGAAUACGACCUCCUUUCGCAUGAUCGGAGGUGGAAAGCUCCGGCGGAGAAGGAUGAGCUCGCGGCCUAUCAGCUAGUUGGUGUGGGUAACGGCCCACCAAGGCGACGACGGGUAGCCGGCCUGAGAGGGUGUCCGGCCACACUGGGACUGAGACACGGCCCAGACUCCUACGGGAGGNAGCG